AUAACAUGUAAAAUAAAUAAUAUUGCAUGCAGCAUUUCACCUAGAGUUUCUUUGAUAUUGCUCCAUAAGUAAUCAUAUUAUCCCUGUGUGUGUAUUGUAUAUUUACUGAUAUUUCUCUGGAUGGUUUUGUUCUGCCUUUUCUCUUGACAGAGUAAGAAUCUAUGAAAGGGAAUUAGGAAACUAUGAAAGGGAAUUAGGUCUGUAGAAGAGUGUGUUUACAAAAAUGGCCAAAGUGGCAAGUGGAAUAUGAACUCGGGUGCCAGGGAAAGCAUACAACAAUGUUGAAUGGUAGUAAAAGCCUUUGUCAUGGUUUUGAUUUUAUUUGUUGUAUUGAAGUUGAAUCCUGGGCAAAGGCAUUGGGAUUAUUUCAUUUAGGUAAGCAGGAAAUGAAGUAUGGUGCUGAAGCUGAAUUGGGGUUGGUAGGGCAUUAUAAGACAAUAAUAAGAGGUCACCUUCCUGUUUGAUUUAGGUCACUAGGUUUUGCUCUUGCCUUAUUUUGGCUGCUUAACUAAAUUUGCUUCAGUUUGGCCCAUAAGACAAAACAGUAGCUAUUUGUGAAUUUGAUGGUCACAUGAUACCCAGUGAAGGAGUGAGUAAAGAGAAAGGGGAAAUCCAAGUACUCCAGGAGUGUUCUCUACAAAAAUUUUGGCGACAGUGAAGUAGCUUAUAGAGACUAAGGAUGAAAAUAAUUGCAAUCAUGGAUAUAUCGGUACUUUGAUUUUAUAGAUAUAUUAGAGAUAUAUUAACGGAUAUUUUGACACAAAAUAUCGAUGACUCAA
rnacentral:lncRNA from 1 species